CCCAGUUAUUUUUUCCCACCCUUCCUUACCCAUUUUGUUCUUGCAUUUAAUGUUUGCAUGUGACAACCUUUCUUUUCUGUCCUUGCGUCAGAAACCUUUUUUCCUAGCCACACAAGUCUUUUUCAGUGUGUGUUUUGUAAGCAACCCCUUGUCUUCCGCUUUCAUUCUUCUCACGCACUUUUCUUUUUCUCAUUCAUUUGGUGCAAAAACCCUAAAAAUGUCUUUUUCUUCUAUUUCUAAAAUUUCCGUAAUUACUCUUCUGAUACACAGCUCUUUUGUUGUCGCACAGACAUUGUUCCUUUUUCUGUUCGAAAAUCUCCAUUUUACUGAUUAUGCAUUUUGAACGACGAUUGGCAGGAACGAGGUUUCUAUGAUUUCUAUGAACCCAGUCGACUAUUUCUUCGGUAAGAUCUACAGUUUAGGCUUUAUUUUUUGUUGUUGUUAGGAAAUCGUUCUUUUUUCUGUUCGAACAUCUUUGUUAUAUUGAUUGUGCAUUUUGAACGACGAUCAAUAGGAACGAGGUUGCUAUGAACCCAAUUGACAGUUGAAGAAAGAGUUCGAUAGAAAGGGCAAAAAUUUCGGUAAGAUCUACGCUCCCUUUGUUAAGCUACUUUCUGUAUUUAUAUUUGUGCAUUGUUCCUCUAGAUCUAUGGUUGGUAAUAUAUAUUUUUUGUUUGUUUGUGUUGAUGUAAGAAAUUCAAAGGUUUUGUUAUGUGUAAAAGUGAAAAUAAAAAUUGCUUUCGUGAUUUUACAACCCCGCAAUCGUGGAGGAAAUCUUUUUGCAUUUGAUGGUUUUGUUAUGUAUAGAAAUGAAAGUAAAAAAAAUUGUUUCGGAUUUUACAACCUCGUACUCACGGAGGAAAACUUUUGACAUUUGAUAGUUUAAUCUGAAAUGGAAUUGAUGGUCACUCAUUUAUGGCCAGAGUCAAUGCUUUGUUAAAAUUUUCUAUCACUAUUCUCGCACUAAUAUGCGCCAUGGCAUCUCUUUUGGCCUCCAUUUUUGGUAAUGAAAAUGGGAGGAAUAGUGUUUUGUUGAAAAAAUGAGUGGUUGAAAAAGAAGGAAUUUUUUUUGAUUUACGUGUAAUAUUAAUUUAUGGAAAAUUGUGGUUUAAAAUAGGAGAGAGAAAAAUAGAAUUUAAUGGAAUGUAAUUUAAUGGGGGCCAAACAGUGACUAACCAUCUCACACAGCCCAAGUCCAAGUAUAAUUCUUUCUCACUUAUGGGUUUACCAAUUUUUUCUUAAUUAUUUUGUUUACGAGAAUUUUUAUGUAUCUUGAGCCCACAAUAAACUUCUUAUGAGCCAAGACUUGUUUGAGCCCAAGUUUUUCUUCAUGAUGUUCCUUAUCACUAUCUUCUACCCAUUUUUUUUCGAAUUCUCGUACUCUACUCCUUUACCUUUUCCGUGUUAGGAUUAUUUGAUGUUCAAAAAAAUCCCCAAAUUGUGUAAUUACUUUCUGUCCAUUCCAAAACUUUGUUCUUCCCUUUGCAUGUAUUAUUCUCUCUGUAUAGAUGCACGAGUAAGUAUCUAAAAUUAGAAGUAUAUUAAGAGGCUGAUGCAUAGAAAACUUGGGCUUCCGCUUUCAUCAUAAAUGUCUAAGAAACAGUAAAACCUACUAUCAUCUGACAUCUCUCCUUCAACAUCCUAUUGUACGAAAGAGUAACCACCAUAAUAUCUUAAACGCAACGCUAAAGAGUAAUCACCCUAACAUCUUAAAUGCAAUGCUAUGAGCUUUAUGUCACUUUUCCAAGAGACGAGACAAAUGACAAUUAGCGUCAAACUAUCCAAUGUCCAUAACCACAAACCUUAUUCUAUACUAUUUUUGUUUCUUUAGCUUUCAAUUUUGUUUUAUUUACGCUAAUACCUAACAUGACUUCUUCAAGUUCUCUAGGGCAGCUCGUCGACAGUAUUAGUAUAUAGCAUAAUAUAGGCACGACAAGUGGUUAUUUCUACAGAGGCCUAACAUAUCGCAUUCGUACUUUCAUCAAUAUAUUCAAUUAGCUAAUAAUCAAUUCCUGAUAUAUAGAAACUUCCGUCUUUAGUGUCAACAUCAAAUAAUACUCUUCAGUUGGUUUAGUUUAAAAUAAAUGAUAUUAAACUACAAGAACAAUAGAAUACAUAAAUACUGAACCACUUUCAAUUUAUAUUCUUGUUAACCAUUGAUCAAUUCAUCCAUUCACUUUCAGUAUUUAUUCACCAUUAUAACUUCUGAACAAGUCGAUACUCAUGUCAUUUAAGCGUUAAUAAGCAAGCUUUGUUCUUACAGUUAACUGCUCGACGUACCCAAAGAAAUGACUUUUUCAUUUCCUCAAGUUAUCAUACGAGCAAUCGUAGCAUUAAGUCCUCGUAAAAUGAGAACUAAGUGGCUCAUCACCAUUAAUUAAAAUAAAACCAAUGGAAUCAGAGUUAAAACUUAGAACAUGAAAAUUCAAGUAGAAAUAAAGCAAUCACGACUAUUCAUUCACAAUUUUUUAUACCUAAAUUUUACGAAAAUGUAAAACAUUUAAAAAAAAAAAAGGGUAAGAAAGUGUUAGUUUUUUCUCAAAUUACAAUCUUAAAUUCAAAUUUACUUACAGACACGUCACACCACUCUUUUACACAAAAAACUCAUUUUCCUUCUCUCGUCUACGAAAACAAAUGAUAUAAGAACAGAGGAUGGAUAAAAGGUUUAGACAUAUGUUUAGGUGAAAUCCAGUAAGCAAAUUUUCUUCAUUUUCCAUUUCUUGAUCCAUCAAAUGCUGUGGACGGGAAUGAUGGAAAAAUUAGCCACGAAUGUGCUUUGCCAAUUUAUUUGGAAGUCUACAAGAUUUUUUUUCUGAGAGGGGUAUUAUCAUGCUGUUGUUUGUAAAAUAAAAAAAGAAUGAGAAUGAUCCAUGUGAUUCUCGAGUCUGUUCUUUCUAAAAUUUAGAAAAAGCACAAAUAAAUGCUGUUUUGUAACAUAAGUUCGUACCAGAACGGAGAUGGAGACAAAUCAAACAACAUUGGAACCAAUAUUUUCUACAGAACUCAUGGUCAUGGGCUGGUGAAAAUUCUUUUCAUCAUAGGUAAUCCAUUUUAAUUUAAAUCAUUCAUAUUUUACCAAACCUUUGAAUCACACAAAUGGAUUUUCUAUUGAAUUUUUGUUUGAUCAAUGAUUUCUUUUUUUGGGUGAAUGGUUAAGAUAAUUUAUAUGUGUGUGCGCGUGCGCGCGUGAGUACCAUUAAAUUAUAAGGUACUUAUUUUUGUAAUUGGAUUCUCAUUACAGCUUAAAUUCUAGAUAAUUGUGUUUAAAAUUUGAUGCAUUGUUUGACAGUUUUUAUCGCUUUGUUGACUGGCAAUCUCUAUCAUGACUUAAUUUGUCUUUUCAGAGCUCAUCGAAUUUAAUCCUGUUCAUGGAACUGGCUUACAAGUUCCUACUGGUAAAAAUUUUUUUAUAGUCAUAGCUCACCUAUAAAUUUUUUGACAUAGUUUCCGCGUGAUGAGUGAUACAAUUCUAUGCUGAGAAACAUUUGAUUCUUUAAAACCAAAAUUGUACUUCAUCUUGAUUUCUUUACAUUUAUUUCUCUUUCUAGGGGAUUGAGGCAUCAAGAUUAUUGAAGUCUAAAGGCAUUCAAACAUACAUGACAUUUGACUUUAGCUAUAGAAGUCAUAUUGUGCUUACAAUUUCUAAAGCCUUGGUGAUUCAAUUGUUUAUAUUUGCUUUUAGUUGAAAAACAGGAACUGUUCAUAUAUUAUGUUAAUUACUCGUGAAGUGCAUGUAGACAAUACUUGAUCAUUGUUGCUUGAACAAUGACUAGUCAUUUGGACUUGGAUUCAUCAAAAAUGGUGUUUCAUCAGGUAUUGAUGGGCUAGGAAUUUCAUAUGCUUGUUCAAAAUAUGUAUUUUAUGCAUAAUUUUUUUUCUUCUUUUCUUCCUAUUUUAUCUUCUGUAGCUUUUUAUUUCCUUCCAACUCUAUUCUGGAUUGCAACUGGUUAUGAUUAAGUCUCUCAUAUGGUUCUCUAGAAGUGAUGUUAGAUUUUAGAUUAAGGUCAAUGAAAAGUAUAUAUCUGCACUCAUGUACCUAAGCUUCAAAAUUGAUUUUUUUUUAACUUUUGAAUAUACCAAUCUGUCAUAAAGCAUAAAAAAUUUAUGCACUUAUUCAUUAUCUAAGGAGAUACAAAAAUAUAUAGUAAAUUGAAGGGCUUGAAAAGGUGCACGAUGUGUGAUAUUUUUUUAUAAAUAAUCUGAGGAAUGUGAAGCUGCAUAAUUAGCACAUAUAGCCUCUUUAGACAAAAUACGCCUAUCAUUUUCAAUACUUUGUCCCCCAAACCUAAAGACCCUGCAGUGUCUUUAUACGAAUAUAUACUUUCUACAUGUGGUUGAGUGUCAAUUUGCAGGGUUGUGAUAAUUUCAACUAUUCUACUUUAUAAUAUGGAACUUUAUUGAUUGGCAGACAUUGCAUUCUUGCAAUGUUCAAACAUGUGAAUCUGAUUGGUUUGAUCGUCAUAUUUUGAGCUGCCUGUUCCUUGUGCCAACAUAUGUAUAAACUACUACAGACUAUUGCAACGCAACAAGAAGAAUUGUCAUAGAGAUUAAGCUCUAGGCUUAGUUAUUUUUGCAUCAUCCUUUUUGACUCUCGAAAAGAUGCUUGCACGUGAUUCACUGAUCUUUGUCGUUAAUUUUAUUGCAUGUAUGUGCCUCUUUCAUUUUUGUUGUAUUGCCUUGAUGCCAAUUUUGAACUACAUGAUACCGUUUACAACUCUUCUUUUGCUAUAAUGGUCAUAAGUUAAAAUAUUCCUUCAUUGAGGUAGAUUGGUCAUGUUUUAGUUUCUCAUAAUUGUAGGUUCCAAAUGGACCUGCUAGCCAUUACCUUCUUGACAGACUUGCAAUUUCCCUGAACAAGUAAAUUAAAUUACUUUUUGCUUCUGACAUAUAUUCAACGAUACGUGAAGUUCAAUGUACAAAAGUUUAUUCGUUUCUCUGUGUGUCAUAUGAUCAUUACUAGAGCCAAAAUAAAUAUAUUUUAUUCAAAUGGAAUUUAGAAAAUAUAUUUUAUUCAGACGGAAUUAGAAUUCUGUCAGUGAAUAUAAGUUAUCAAUUUUGUCUUUUCAAAUGCUGUACUUGAGAAAGUUCUCGUUUGACUGGAACAUAAUUUAUGGUUAUACAUUAUUUUUACGAUGUUGUUACCUCGAAAUAUUUAGGGGGCCUUUUGUUUCCCAUUUUUAUAAGAA
rnacentral:lncRNA from 1 species